rnacentral:rRNA from 1 species
UUGACCUGGCUCAGGAUGAACGCUAGCGGCAGGCUUAACACAUGCAAGUCGAGGGGUAACGAUGGUGCUUGCACCAGGCGACGACCGGCGGACGGGUGAGUAACACGUAUGCAAUUUGCCUUUAACUGGAGGAUAGCUUCGGGAAACCGUAAUUAAUACUCCAUAGUAUUCAAAAGACGCAUGUUUUUUGAAUUAAAGCUCCGGCGGUUAAAGAUAAGCAUGCGGGACAUUAGCUAGUUGGUAAGGUAACGGCUUACCAAGGCGACGAUGUCUAGGGGGUUUGAGAGGAUGAUCCCCCACACUGGUACUGAGACACGGACCAGACUCCUACGGGAGGCAGCAGUGAGGAAUAUUGGGCAAUGGGCGCAAGCCUGACCCAGCCAUGCCGCGUGCAGGAUGAAGGUCCUAUGGAUCGUAAACUGCUUUUGUAUGGGAAGAACUUCCCGCAUUCGUGCGGGAUUGACGGUACUAUACGAAUAAGGACCGGCUAACUCCGUGCCAGCAGCCGCGGUAAUACGGAGGGUCCAAGCGUUAUCCGGAUUCACUGGGUUUACAGGGUGCGUAGGUGGAACGAUAAGUCGAUGGUGAAAGCCUACAGCUUAACUGUAGAAUUGCCAUUGAUACUGUUGUUCUUGAGUAUAGUCGGGGGAAGUGGAAUGCGUAAUGUAGCGGUGAAAUGCAUAGAUAUUACGCAGAACACCGAUCGCGAAAGCAGCUUCCUAGGCUAUUACUGACACUGAGGCACGAAAGCGUGGGGAGCGAACCACGAUUAGAUACCCUGGUAGUCCACGCCGUAAACGAUGCUCACUCGCUGUUGGCGAUAUAUCGUCAGCAGUUAAGCUAAA